rnacentral:tRNA from 1 species
GCCCGAAUGGCGAAAUAGGUAGACGCAAAGCACUUAAAAUUCUCAGCCGUGAGGCACGCCGGUUCGAUUCCGGUUUCGGGCG